ACCCCAUGGAGCUUUAAACCCAACAACACCCGCCCCCCUCCAAAUCCUAUUAUUUACCCGGUGAUUGUUUGUUUGGUUUUAGGUUGGGGUGACCGCGGAGUAUAAGAUAUCCUCCAUGAAAAAAAGCUAACUGCCCUUAUUAGAGAAAGACACUUCCAAAAAAUAAUAAAUUAAUUUUAAAUGAUCCGACAUUCGAUCAACGAACCAAGUUACCCUGGGGAUAACAGCGCAAUCCGUCCCGAGAGCCCCUAUCGACAGGCGGGUUUACGACCUCGAUGUUGGAUCAGGGUAUCCCAGUGGUGCAGCAGCUACUAAAGGUUCGUUUGUUCAACGAUUAAAACCCU
rnacentral:rRNA from 1 species